rnacentral:lncRNA from 1 species
AAUAAAUUUAUACAUACUGUAAUACAGUAAGCUAAAAUAUUUAAUUUAAUUUACAAUAACAAGAGGGCCCCCGAAUAAACAAAAGUAAAGAGGACUGUGAACCUACGAUUUGGAAAAUGCAGAUCCAACGGUAAUCCUCGAUGAGAUCAGCUAUCUACAGUCUAUACUGAACCUGAAAUGGGUGGAAAGGAGGGUGGUGAGAUUAUAAAAUCUCAAUGAGUAAAUAGAUAUCAUCAUAAACAUCUAGAGUCGAGUACAUGGAGACAACAAAGUAAAUCAUCGUAAACUGGGUCACAGCAUUAGAAUACAUUUCAUUUAAAAUAUGUAAAGAGGCUUAUGAAUUUCAUAAAAACUAGGCUUGUGCCAUAAAUCCAUUCUCAGGGACACCUUGGCCGAGGCAUCCUACCGAGACCGCCAAGGGUAUUAAAAUUCACAUUUCACAUAAAUCAUGUUUUUGUUUUGAAAACAUAGCCGUUCCUUGGCGUUGGCUGAGUUCCCGCUCACGUGGUGGUUUGGCGUGAAGUGAACCCUAAGCUUUACCCUAGGAGAUACCCUACGCGCCUCUCCGUUCGAGGUAAGAAUAUAAUGGGGUUUACCGUGCCCCUCUAAAAGGCUAGUCCACAGAAACCCCAUACUGCAGUGAUUAAUUAAUAUAUAUAAUCCACCAUACAAUAAAACUCAAUAACAUGAUAUGGCAAUUUUGUAAUUCACAGUCUUUCAAGGUAACUAAACAAUUCGCAUUUCAAUACAAUUACCAACUAGCCAAUCAUGCCCGAUUUAUCAUAAGCCAAUCAAUUUAAACAAUUAAAUUGCCACAAUUAACAGUCUCCGUGUACUCUAUUUUUCAAAAUCAUUAUUAAUUUCAAAACAAUUUAUAAUUUAAUUUCAUUGAAACACAUUUAUUCAUAAAACAUGAAAAUUUACCUUUUUAAAUUCAUUUUUCCAUAGAAAUCAUGAAAUCCCCUAAAAACUACCCUAGAUAAUUAAAAUAACAAUAAGUUUACUCACAAUGUCUAGAAUGCAGACUUUCAACGCACUCUGUCUACUGGUCCUCGAAUGCAAUUU